AGGACUUAGGUUGAGAUUUUGCAUCUAUACGGCCCACGACGAUGUCACACGCAAUUUAAUCUAUUGCGGCGUUUACGCUGAUGCGGUGUUUCUGUGUAAUUUUAAUUUUUUUCCCCCUCCAUUUUUCUCAAAUGCGGCAUUUAUGCUGAUGCGGCCUUUCUUCCGGAAAUUACGGUAAUUCGUUUGUAAACCGAAUUUUUGUGAAGCAUUCAUGAUCCAAGGUUCUACUAUAGCCUUUGUUGAUAAUCCUUAACUCAGAAAAAUUUGAAUAUAAAUUUUAAAGAAAACGUUAGAUUAUUGUUAUAGCACUUGUCACUUGUGUAUGAGCGAACUUGGCAUUGUUAUUUUCAUGGUUGCUUCUAAUGACAUACAUUUAUCAGCUGUUGAAUUCUUCAUGUUAGAUAUGUGGAAGAUGCAAAAUAUCAAAUUUUAUUUCAAAUGAAAUGGUAAGAAUUAGUAAUCUAAGCAUAAAGUUCAAAAUUAGUAAGGUAAGCAUCAUGGGCAUUUUUUUUUUAUGGAAUUUUAUAAGAAUUUAGAAAAAAAAAAAAAGCAAAAGUAACAUAAAUUAGAAACUCUCAAAGUGAAAUUAUUUUCAGUACCAAAUCUGAAACACAAAUAGCUACAAAACUACUUGUACAAAUUUUACAAAAUGUGGUAGUUGUGAACAGUUUGAAGUAUAAGGAUGGAUUGAUCUAUGGGGAAGAUUUACUUACUUAAAUAUGGCAAACACAUACAGCCUGAGAGAAAGGAUGCUUUUGUUGAGCUCCUCGUAAUGGGAGUCAUUUUGUAUUCACGUUACGCAUGAGGAAAACCAUGAAAAUACCAAUGCUGUGAGCCCUUUCAAUAGGGUUUAAAUCUACAUUUGAUCUACCAGUACAAAAGCUAAACCAUUUCAAAUAAAGAGGGCCAAAUCAGCAUAUUUUUCAGAAAGUGCCAAUUUGGCGUUUGCAAUGUUUAUUAGCACAAAGUUAUGUAUAAAUCUAAUUUAUAUUAUAAGUUGCCAUUUUGAAGCAUCAAAAAGUGUAGGUUGAGUUUUGGUCAAGGUCCGUACAGUGAAAAGGUUUGCGCAUUCGGAAACUGAGGCAUAGAGCGCAUGCGUCAAGUCUCAACGUAUGACGUCACAGGGCGACCAGACGAGGCCUACGUGAUAUACGAGUCUAAGGGAAACGCCAAGUCAUUGCUUUCGAAUGCUGAAAUCCUGUGAAGUCCUCUGUCAGUGAGAAUAUUUUCUUCAAGAUGCCUGGAAUGCGAUGUGCCGUUGCUCUUUGCAACAACAGUUUAGAAAAAACUAAAAAUUUAUCUGAGCGCAUAGUUUAUCAUAAAUUUCCAAGUGAUCCUACAUUAAGAAGGAAGUGGAUAAAUCUUUGCCGUCGAGAAGAUAAAUGGAAUGCAAACUCUUCUAGGAUAUGUUCUGCCCAUUUUACUGCGUAUAAACUGAAAGAAGAUCCAAAUUGUAUUUCGUCGUGGAUACAACAUCUGUCUCAUGGAGGACUAAUUCAACCCUCUGAAGAGUGGAAAACGCAGGUCCAUAAAAUGGAAGAACAAUUUUUAAUUUUCAACGGUUCCACUUUAAGAAAGGGAGAAAAUAUUAUAAAGGACUUUGUCAAAACCCUUAAACAGCAGUUUUCCGACACAGAUGAAAACUUACUUAAGUCCUUUGCUAGAAUUCGAACUUUCAUACGAUUAAGGACUUUAAAUCAAAAAUUAGUUAAUAAAAAAUAUUCGAAAGCACAAAAAAGAAGACUAAAUUCAGUCGACGAAAACUGUGACAUAACGCGGAAAAGAAAAAAUAAAUUGAAGAAAAUAAUUUCGUAAUAUCAAAAAAUUAUUUCUUUAACUGAAUAUAAAUCGAGCUAUCUUUUGUUUUGUUAUCUUAGGUGCGCUAUUUUUUUAGCCUAACCAUUGUAAGGAAUACUUAAAAUUUUUCUUCAAGCAAAGCUUAGCUGCGGAAAAAAUGGUGUAUCCAGCAUAUCUGUUGAAAGAAAUAUUUUUUAUUAAACAGAACUGAUCCAAAUUACGUAACUAGACUAAAUUUUAGAUGCAAAUACCUGGUUACUUUUGGAAAGAAAAAUAUA